ACGGACUUAACUCAGUAUGGUAAGAGUGGUGUUCUUAUAAAGCACUGGUCAUUGGUUCAAAUCCAAUAGUCCGUA
rnacentral:tRNA from 1 species